UUUGUUCCGUGUAUCGUGCACGGAGGAUAAGAAGGAGAUGGUAAGAGCGAUAUAUUUAAGAAAGAGCAGGAUGUUCGAUUUACGGGAGAGAGGAGGGGCAUGGCUCGAGUUCAGGGCUGGCCAUUAGAAACUUAAAUAGGAUUAACUCGGUACUUGUUUAUGAUUUCAGCAUUCCCGUUCGCUGCUGGCAUUCGAGCUGGAUAUCCCGCGGUUCUUCCCGGCCAAUAUGGCAUCCUGACACACACACGCGCGUAAGGGAGCAAGCCGAGAAAUUCCCUUUUCGAGAUCCUUGAGAGCGCCAUGGGCGCCGUUCUAAGGAGCGCAAAUAUAUUAAGAAAAAAAAAAAA